GGAUAAAAGGCAGCAAAUAUUAGGGUGAAAGGACAAAAAGAAAAGGUAGACACUGUCAUCUGUCAGAAUUCAGAAGGCAAAACAUUAAAUAUAGAGUUAAUCUUAAUUUUGCAUUGCAUGAUAGAUGAAAUUUGGGUUCUUAUUGUUUAUCUGCUAAUGACAACAUCCUACAAGAAACCCUCCAAAUCCAAAAACAACAAAGUUCCAACUUCCAAUAACCUCAUUAGGAUAACUUGUGAAGCUCACAAAUUGGAUAAAAGGCAGCAAAUAUUA
rnacentral:misc_RNA from 1 species